GGCCUGCUGGAGCAGCUCCAGCCAGGCCAGAGACAUCCUCCCUGGCCUGCCCUAGCUUUAGGCCCAGGAAGCAACUUCAGGAGAAGAGAUUACGAUCCACUAAGCAGACGUUUCAAGAAAAUACCUACAGCUAUUUUGUCCCACUAGAACAUAAACCAAGCAAACAGAAGGCGAUCCAACAGAAAGUUGUUUUUGUUUGGGGUUGGUUUUUUUUUGGUGUUUUUUUUUUUUUUUUUUUUUUUUUUUUUGGAGAGGGGUGGGGAGAGGUUCUUCAAGGGAAAAAGAGUGACUUUGCUAACCAGCAUUAGAGAAGGCAAAACUGUGCAACAAACUGAGCUCUCGUACAGUGGCUCUCAACCUUUCCACACUACUGUACACCUUUCAGAUUUGUCUUGCGUAUCCCUAAGUUUCACAUAAUUUAAAAACUACUUGCUUACAAAAUUAGACAUAAAAUACAAAAAUGUCACAGCACACUAUUACUGAAAAAUUGCUUACUUUCUCAUUUUUACGAUAUAAAAUAAAUCAGUUGAAAUAUACAUAUUUUACUUACAUUUAAGAGUAUAUAGCAUACAGAGCAGUAUAAACAAGUCAUUCUCUGUAUCAAAUUUCAGUUUGUACUGACUUCACUGGUGCUUUUUAUGUAGCCUGUAGUAAAACUAGGCAAAUAUCUAGAUGAGUUGAUGUACCCCUGGAAGACUUCUAUAUACACCGGUUGAGAACCACUGCUUUAGUGUGAACAACGUAGGACAGCUUUUUUUUUUUUUUCCAACAACAUCUCUUAUUCAAUGACGUAAUGACACUUUAGCUUCAUCUAUCCUAGAGAAAUUUACCAGUCUAAGAACUGCCUCCUAACAGGCUUGUAAAAUGCAUCCAAUCCACACACAAAAGGGCUCCAAGCUAUAUGGGUGCAUGCCAAACUCCAUUUAGUUGACAGUGUGCAUAGAGGUCAUUUGUGUAAUAGCACUAAUGGUUCAAACAGUCCUUCCACUAUUGUCCUGCCAUGCACAGGUGGCCUUUCAGAAUCUCCCAGAGUCAGUCUGGGACCUGUUCUCAAAAAACUGUGGGAUAAGCCUUCAGAAGGAAACACAGGUGAGGAUUUUUCUACACAGCAGGGUAAUGUGCACUAUGGGCGUGUAAUUUCCACAGCACACGAACAUGUUGGACAUUAAUUAGGCCACGUAGAUCCUUCUGGUGCACACCGAAGGUUUCCUAAUGCAUUUUAAUGUAAUGCUUUACUAUUCCUUUGGGGUUGUGUGUUUUGGGGAUUGGUUUAGCUUUCUGACAUGAAAUUGUGGGAACAGAGUCAAACACAUUCAGCUGCUAAACUGCGGACGUUCCAUUUUAUGCACAAGAGCCGGAGCCUUUUGAGGACAUCAUCAAAAGUAUAUUACUUACUUAUGGAGGAUUAGGGUUCCAUGAAUAACCUCAUCUGCUCCAACAGGCAAAUCAGCUUAUGGAGUUUGGUUGUAUCUUUACUUAAGCAGGAAAAGGACAUUCUUUGACAUUUUAAGUAGUAGUUAAAAAAAAGUGUUUUAUUAGUUGUUCUUUUAAAUAAUCUUAAUAUUAAUUGUUUAGAAAUACAAGAGUGCC